GACGAACGCUGGCGGCGGGCUUAACACAUGCAAGUCGAACGGAAAGGCCCUGCUUUUGUGGGGUGCUCGAGUGGCGAACGGGUGAGUAACACGUGAGUAACCUGCCCUUGACUUUGGGAUAACUUCAGGAAACUGGGGCUAAUACCUGCGAGGAGCUCCUGCUGCAUGGUGGGGGUUGGAAAGUAUCGGCGGUGGGGGAUGGACUCGCGGCUUAUCAGCUUGUUGGUGGGGUAGUGGCUUACCAAGGCUUCGACGGGUAGCCGGCCUGAGAGGGUGAACGGCGACCUUGGGACUGCGAGACGGCCCAGUCGCCAACGGGAGGCAGCAGUGGGGAGUAUUGCACAAUGGGGGGAAGCGUGAUGCAGCAACGCUGCGAGCGGGAUGACGGCCUUCGGGGUGUAAACCGCUUUCGGCUGUGACGAAGCGUGAGUGACGGUAAUGGGUAAAGAAGCACCGGCUAACUACGUG
rnacentral:rRNA from 1 species